CGUGCUGAAUAUCCUGUUUGCCACUUCACAUUCACUCUCUCCAUUUUCCAUCUUGCUCUUGCCCUACAAGUGGGACCUCUUUGGGAUUCGUCAGCAUGGCGCCUGUGCCCUUGGGCUCCCAGCUGGGCUCAGCCAGCAGAAAGCCUGGCAGGAGAUUGGAGAUCAAGAAGUGAUAACUGGGACUGCUACCUGGAGCUAUCAGGUAACUGCACUAUCUUAUGUAGUUUCAUGAGAUCACAACUAGAUAAAUAGUUUCUUUGUAAAUAAACUCUCUUUGGUUUAUCCUUGGGUAUAUACUAUCAUUUUUACUUUUUUGUUAUGUUGACUUUUCUAACUGAAUUAUAGAUACUCUCCUCUCCACAUUAGGGCACCACCCUUUGUUCAUCAUGGGAACAUUUCCCUCAGCUUGUUGCUUUCUAGUUUUAUUUUAAUGUGGCUUUUGUUUAGGUUUACUUGAGCGAGGUCUGUUCACUCAAGACUCAAGAAUGGAAUGGAGUCCACUCAAGAAUGGAGUCUUGAGUGAACAGACCUCAAGACUCAAGGUCACUCAAAUGUGACCUAGAGUUUGAAAAAUACAUGGCAACUUCCCGCUCCCUUCUCUUUGGAGUGGAGUGAAAUUCUAGAGCUGAUCCACUCAUGGCCCAAAUAUCAGCUUCCCCUCCAUAAAAGGUUACAUUCCUCUGUAAGCAUUUGGAAAGAUUCAUCUUAUGUUCCAGAGAUGCCUACCGGGAGCUGCUCUUCAACUUCAUGUGCGUCUUCCCUCUAUCCACUCUGCUGUGGAGCUCUGGUUACCUCACGGCUGCUACCUACCUGGAGUUCCUAGGCAUAAUCCCCUCCCUGCAGAGAGGGCCCUUCAACCAGGAACCAGUUGAGCUGAGUCUGGGGGAAAC
rnacentral:lncRNA from 1 species